rnacentral:rRNA from 1 species
ACGGGUGAGUAACACGUGGGCAAUCUGCCCUGCACUCUGGGACAAGCCCUGGAAACGGGGUCUAAUACCGGAUAAUACUCCCGCACUCAUGUGUGGGUGUUGAAAGCUCCGGCGGUGCAGGAUGAGCCCGCGGCCUAUCAGCUUGUUGGUGAGGUAAUGGCUCACCAAGGCGACGACGGGUAGCCGGCCUGAGAGGGCGACCGGCCACACUGGGACUGAGACACGGCCCAGACUCCUACGGGAGGCAGCAGUGGGGAAUAUUGCACAAUGGGCGGAAGCCUGAUGCAGCGACGCCGCGUGAGGGAUGACGGCCUUCGGGUUGUAAACCUCUUUCAGCAGGGAAGAAGCGCAAGUGACGGUACCUGCAGAAGAAGCGCCGGCUAACUACGUGCCAGCAGCCGCGGUAAUACGUAGGGCGCAAGCGUUGUCCGGAAUUAUUGGGCGUAAAGAGCUCGUAGGCGGCUUGUCACGUCGGGUGUGAAAGCCCGGGGCUUAACCCCGGGUCUGCAUUCGAUACGGGCUAGCUAGAGUGUGGUAGGGGAGAUCGGAAUUCCUGGUGUAGCGGUGAAAUGCGCAGA